AAACGUAGGAGGCGAGCGUUAUCCGGAUUUACUGGGCGUAAAGCGUACGCAGGUGGCUUCGUGAGUCGGACAUGAAAGCUCCCGGCUUAACUGGGAGAGGUUGUUCGAUACUGCGGGGCUUGAGGUUGGGAGAGGGACGUGGAAUUCCCGGUGUAGUGGUGGAAUGCGUAGAUAUCGGGAGGAACACCAGUGGCGCAAGCGGCGUCCUGGCCCACACCUGACGCUGAGGUACGAAAGCGUGGGUAGCAAACAGGAUUAGAUACCCGUGUAGUCCCUGAGCGGG
rnacentral:rRNA from 1 species